rnacentral:rRNA from 1 species
AUCGAACGCUGGCGGCAUGCUUUACACAUGCAAGUCGAACGGUAACAGGCCGCAAGGUGCUGACGAGUGGCGAACGGGUGAGUAAUGCAUCGGAACGUGCCCAGUCGUGGGGGAUAACGCAGCGAAAGCUGCGCUGAUACCGCAUACGAUCUCUGGAUGAAAGCGGGGGACCGAAAGGCCUCGCGCGAUUGGAGCGGCCGAUGUCAGAUUAGGUAGUUGGUGGGGUAAAGGCCCACCAAGCCAACGAUCUGUAGCUGGUCUGAGAGGACGACCAGCCACACUGGGACUGAGACACGGCCCAGACUCCUACGGGGGGCAGCAGUGGGGAAUUUUGGACAAUGGGCGCAAGCCUGAUCCAGCAAUGCCGCGUGCAGGAAGAAGGCCUUCGGGUUGUAAACUGCUUUUGUACGGAACGAAACGGUCCUGGUUAAUACCUGGGGCUAAUGACGGUACCGUAAGAAUAAGCACCGGCUAACUACGUGCCAGCAGCCGCCGUAACAC